rnacentral:piRNA from 1 species
AUUGGUCUACAGUUUUACAGGUUGUCUAUGA